rnacentral:tRNA from 1 species
GCCUCAGUAGCUCAGCUUGGUAGAGCAUCUGAUUUGUAAUCAGGAGGUCGAGUGUUCAAAUCAUUCUGCCGGCACCA